UGGGGAAUAUUGGACAAUGGGCGAAAGCCUGAUCCAGCAAUGCCGCGUGAGUGAAGAAGGCCUUCGGGUUGUAAAGCUCUUUUACCCGGGAAGAUAAUGACUGUACCGGGAGAAUAAGCCCCGGCUAACUCCGUGCCAGCAGCCGCGGUAAUACGGAGGGGGCUAGCGUUGUUCGGAAUUACUGGGCGUAAAGCGCACGUAGGCGGUCUUUUAAGUCAGAGGUGAAAGCCCGGGGCUCAACUCCGGAAUUGCCUUUGAAACUGGGAGACUUGAACACGGGAGAGGUGAGGGGAAUUCCGAGUGUAGAGGUGAAAUUCGUAGAUAUUCGGAGGAACACCAGUGGCGAAGGCGGCUCACUGGACCGUUGUUGACGCUGAGGUGCGAAAGCGUGGGGAGCAAACA
rnacentral:rRNA from 1 species